rnacentral:piRNA from 1 species
UAGGACUUCGAGUGUGGUGCUCCAGAC